GAUCCUGGCUCAGGAUGAACGCUAGCUACAGGCUUAACACAUGCAAGUCGAGGGGAAACGACAUCGAAAGCUUGCUUUUGAUGGGCGUCGACCGGCGCACGGGUGAGUAACGCGUAUCCAACCUGCCCAUCACUUGGGAGUAACCUUGCGAAAGUAAGACUAAUGCCCAACGACAUCCCACGAAGGCAUCCGAAUGGGAUUAAAGAUUUAUCGGUGAUGGAUGGGGAUGCGUCUGAUUAG
rnacentral:rRNA from 1 species